UAUAAAUCAUUUUAUUUGACAUAAUUGAACAGUUAACCAAUCUUUUUAGUAUAUGUAGUUUUGUACAUAUUAUGGUUAUUAAUCUGGCAAGAAAGUCACAUGACCUGCUGCCAACUUUAAUAAAAAAUAUAUUAUCUUCUCAUACAUCGUUUUGCUAUUGAUAUCAUAUUAAAUAGUAAUCAAAUUGAUUACUAUCUUGAAAAUGUAUAAAUGAAGAUUCAUAUUGUCUUGAGUGCUGUUUUUAAUAUAAAAAGAAUGUUGAGUUUUCAGAGUCUUUAUUGUCAUUUUUUUGUGAUAGGACCCUACCAGACUAUAUUUGAAUACGGCAUACCCAUGAAUUCUGGAACUGUUAUUCCUUAACCCAGUUUGGAGGAUAACAGCUUACUACUAGUUAUGUGAGUACACACAGUACAUUAGUACUGUACACUGUCUCUAACAUGAUUUAUUAUGCUGAGAUGAUUUUGAUUCAAAUAACGGUUAAAACUGCACCCUUUUUGGUAUUUUCUUGACUCUUUUUGUCUUUGAAAAUCUGCAGAAAUAUGCUGAGGCGAUGUAUUGCAAAAUAGCCAACAUACAACAAUUAAAGGAUAAUUGCAGACUACAUCCUGAUGAAGAUAUGGAUGACCCUCUGUCUGGUCAACAGGAGUUUAAAUAUGGAUGGGACAGUGAUGUGGCAGCUCUUCCCUGGCUCAUUCACCUCUUGCCUUCAUUUGUGAAAGGAAAAAAGACUGGAGAGGGUCAAUGUGCAACUGAAGCUUCUGAUUGUGCUGUGUGAUGAGCAUCAAUCCAUGCUUUGAGGUGGAUGGAUCAGCACAGCCCUGCCUGCUCUGCGUUGGGAACAGAAUUUUUGCAUCAUUCUGGACCAAAAAGCCAUUCCCUGCAUGAUGAAGACCACUGAUGCAGCCUUCCACUACAUCAUGAGUAAAACAACUACAGAACUAAAUACCAGGUUGGAACGUAUUUAAAAAAAUGAAACGUUGUUUGAAUUGAAAUUUCUGUUUUGUUAUGGAAAAAUCUUUAGUAUUGUGAAGGAUAAGCAUUUCUGCUUGCCAGUAAGGUAAUUGCGAUGUAUUUUAAUGUUCAAGUUUUGAGUAGGGUGGCUAAUUUUUUUUAACUCUCAUUUGAUUUAUUAAAGACUUUAUAAUAAGUGGUUUUCAUGUCACUGCGCUGUGGUAUAAGAUAACUUUCAUUAUUCCAUACUGUAUUCUGUUUCUAGU